rnacentral:rRNA from 1 species
UGGGGAAUUUUGGACAAUGGGCGCAAGCGUGAUCCAGCAAUGCCGCGUGCAGGAAGAAGGCCUUCGGGUUGUAAAAUGCUUUUGUCAGGGAAGAAAUCUUCUGGGUUAAUACCUCGGGGGGAUGACGGUACACGAAGAAUAAGCACCGGGUAAAUACGUGCCAGCAGCCGCGGUAAUAUGUAGGGUGCGAGCGUUAAUAUGAAUUAUUGGGGGUAAAGCGUGCGCAGGGGGCUUUGCAAGACAGAUGUGAAAUCUCCGGGCUCAACCUGGGAAAUGCAUUUGUGACUGCAAGGCUAGAGUACGGCAGAGGGGGAUGGAAUUCCGCGUGUAGCAGCGAAAUGCGUAGAUAUGCGGAGGAACACCGAUGGCGA